rnacentral:ncRNA from 2 species
CAGUUCUGGCCCCGAACCGGUGCUUUCGGCAAGUACGCUUGCGCGGAAGGUAAACGGGAAACAGGAAGGCCCUGCCCAGCCUGUGCUGCCCCCGCAACGGUCCCCAUGGCGCGCGACGCGCCGUGGCAGCCCGAUACCGGCCGGUUCGACAGCGAGGAU